rnacentral:tRNA from 1 species
GCCUAGGUGAUGGAAUUGGUAGACAUGCUAGACUCAAAAUCUGGUGGCUUCACGGCCGUGCGGGUUCAAGUCCCGCUCUAGGUA